rnacentral:rRNA from 1 species
AGAUUGAACGCUGGCGGCAGGCCUAACACAUGCAAGUCGAGCGGUAGAGAGGUGCUUGCAUCUCUUGAGAGCGGCGGACGGGUGAGUAAUGCCUAGGAAUCUGCCUAGUGGUGGGGGAUAACGUUCGGAAACGGACGCUACUACCGCAUACGUCCUACGGGAGAAAGCGGGGGACCUUCGGGCCUCGCGCCAUUAGAUGAGCCUAGGUCGGAUUAGCCAGUUGGUGAGGUAAUGGCUCACCAAGGCGACGAUCCGUAACUGGUCUGAGAGGAUGAUCAGUCACACUGGAACUGAGACACGGUCCAGACUCCUACGGGAGCAGCAGUGGGAAUAUUGGACAAGUGGGACGAAAGCCUGACUCCGAGCCAUGCCGCGGUGUGUGAAGAAGGUCUGGAUUGAAGUCAAUUUAGUGGAGGAGGUUGUAACUAAGUACGUUGACUAACGUUGACGUUACGAC